UGUUGCUGACAUUUACUCAGCAAACCCUCUGAGAGAAGCGAGCGCUGGCACUUUGUUUUCAUGCCACACUAAUUAUUGGACAUCUCAUUUGCGCAGAUCAAAGGAGUGAGAGGAGACGAUCUCUCAUUCUCUUUAGUGUUGCCGGGGAGAGAGAUGUAGCUCAAACCAUAGGACUGUUUAUAAGCAGCCCUGUCUCAAUCAAGAUGCCUAGCUGCUUAGCAUUCCCCCGGCCAGACUGUUGUUGUUAGAGGAGGUAAGGCAAUAAGGUGCGUGCUGCCCUAGAAGGACCUUUUUCACCCAAACAUUAUAACAAGCCUAUCUACCGUGUCUGUAAAUUGCUACUUUUCGGUACCGAAUGGUAGCCAGGCAUGUACUGUCGUGGCUCUCGGACAUGAAAUUAAUGACAGUUUAAAGUCACACCUCAGAGGUUUGCGCAUAUUGUUGACGGCAGCACACAUUCGAUGUAGCUGUUACACAACCCUUCUUUCAGUGUUGGAGCAUCCUGGCUGGGGAAUUUAUUCUGCCUAUUGAUCGACUGAUGACUCGGCGUGUUAGCGGCGACUGCGUUGGUAAAGAAGAGAGAUUGAGGCGUUGUCAGCCUCAUGUCGGAGAGAAAGGACAGAGGGGCUGUCGAUGACUCAUACAGCUCGUGAAAUCCAGAGGUUACAUAUCCUUGCCUGGCUACCCAGACUCCUUGCUCCAUCCAAACACUGCGACACACCCACGGAUGUAAGUUUCUUCUCCACAAUGAGUCUGGAUCUGAGUACCUCCCAGACUCUUCACCGAAUGCGAACACAUUUGGGGGUCGUCUGAUUGUACCAGAAACCGAUGGGUUUGGGCCAGAGCCAGAACACACGUGGGUAAAGCGGCGGUUUGAAAAUGUUUAAUUGGCUUUGAUACUCUGAUUGGUUAGAGACGAUCCAAUCGCUGAUAACUUUUUUUGAACAACGGAACAGUGGAAGAAUUCAGUGUGAGUUGUUAGGCUAUACAUAUCCCUCGCAUUAGGCUCAUCCAGUUAGGCCCCUCACUCAGACAGUCCUAGCAAAAUUAUUGCUUGAGAAAUUGCUUUUUGCUAAGAAGCUAUUUUCAUAUAUUUUUUUACAAUUUUAAUUGAAAAGAAUCACAGUAAAGUUUUUUUUUUUUUUUUUACUGUUACCAGAAAUAAUUGUUACCCCGAAAUAAUUUGAUAAAUAGUUUAAAACAAUGUCUGCAUUGGACCUUUAAAGGUAAUUUCCUGCGAUUCUUCAUAUUCUGUCCUGGAGCUGAGAUUAUAAUAUUUUUUUUUCAGUUUCAAAGCUAAUUUCCUUCAAUUCUAUUCAUUUUGCCAUGGCUAUGGCUAAUGCUGUGUUAUUUUGCUCAUACAUAGUAACAAAAUCCAUACUGGUAAAUUCAUUGUUUUUGGAGUUGUUUUGUUUUACUCUAGUGUCAAAAUUGACGACAAAGUGUAAAUAAGAUCCUUUCGGUCAUGAAGUCAGUCUUGCAUGCCCACUUUUGCCAAUGAUGUCCAAUUGCCCACACACACUUGCUCGGCAUAGGAGUGAAAAUGGGCUUCCUUAAAGUUGGUGCAAACUUCUAAUGCAUUCAGCAAUAUUGCGCAAGAUGGCAAGGAAUGGACUACAUACAACAAACAUACGACAUCAUGGCUGUGACUGGUGUGUGGUGAGUAGCUAGCUAUGAUACUGUGAUGUAACUCGCUAAAUACAUAGCCUCUCCCUAAUGUGAUAUAAUGUCAUAGACAGGAAGAUUUGCAUAGCUAACGUUGCACCUGACGAGAAGGAUGUAACUGAGGCCACGUUGCUAUCGUUAACGUUUCCACUCGAACUGGCGAGCUAAGAAGAAGCUAAAGUUAGGUAGCUAGCCAAUUCAUUUCAACUAGGACAAAAAUAUUGAUAACUAACCAAGAUUUGCACGUUAGGUAGCUAGCUACUUUUAGAGGAACAGGCAUGUUGUUUGGGUUAGCUCUUGUUCUCGAAAACAGGCCCUGGCGGCAUUCUGCCUUUUAGUGAUCAAGGGCUAGGUGAUUUAGCACUAGCUAGCUAGCAUUCGGGGGCUUCAUCUGCUACUAGUGCUAAAACAACACGCCUGCUCUCGUGAAAGUCUGUUGUGUAUUUUCUAGCGCAAAAAUAAAUGAAAGAUGGUACUUGUCUAGACCGAGUACCAGUCUUUUAAGCUAGCAUGCUACAAAUACGUGUCAGCGAGCAUUCAGCAAUGUAUCGUUACACCGCUAGUUGCAUAGUACCAGCGUCAUGCAGCGUCAUUGGCCUGAAUCUGUGUUGUACUUAACGUCACUCUAUUAGUAUAAUUACUUCCAAACUACAGAUGUUUUUUGUUGUUGUUGUUGCUAUAUAUUUAUUGAGUGAUGAUAUUUUAUUUCAUUCGCAGGCUACUUACAAAAACGGGUGGAUUUGUUGUUCAGCGGUUUUGUGGGAAACCCCUUACCAUAGGAGGAGCAGACCGCUGAGUCAGUACGCGCCCAGGCACCAGUCCCACUUCAGGUGGAGAACAGGAGAGAUGGUUUGUCACGGGGUCCCCCUCACUAAAAGACAGGUGGAUGCAGACGUUUGAACUGGGAGAGACCUUGAACUCAGCGUUAAAAUUAUACGAAACACAUCUAUUACUUUUCGGUUUUUGGUUAUUAUUGAAUGGAAUGGUAGUCGGGGACAUUGUGUAUUCUUCAAACAUGUCCGGAGACUGUCUUAUAUGGGACACCGUAUGAAGGGAGGACGACUAACAUGUACCACCAGACAAAAUGCUGAUUGGUACAGUACCUGUAUCGGCUGUGAAUGACAGAAGAUGAAAGACGUGUAAUAUUUGUACCUUGUUAUAUUAGCAAAACACUGCUUCUAUAGUA